rnacentral:rRNA from 1 species
GACGAACGCUGGCGGCGUGCCUAAUACAUGCAAGUCGAACGCACUCUCGUUUAGAUUGAAGGAGCUUGCUCCUGAUUGAUAAACAUUUGAGUGAGUGGCGGACGGGUGAGUAACACGUGGGUAACCUGCCCUAAAGUGGGGGAUAACAUUUGGAAACAGAUGCUAAUACCGCAUAAAACCUAAACACCGCAUGGUGUAGGGUUGAAAGAUGGUUUCGGCUAUCACUUUAGGGUGGACCCGCGGUGCAUUAGUUAGUUGGUGAGGUAAAGGGCACACCAAGACCGUGAUGCAUAGCCGACCUGAGAGGGUAAUCGGCCACACUGGGACUGAGACACGGCCCAGACUCCUACGGGAGGCAGCAGUAGGGAAUCUUCCACAAUGGACGAAAGUCUGAUGGAGCAACGCCGCGUGAGUGAAGAAGGUUUUCGGAUCGUAAAACUCUGUUGUUGGAGAAGAAUGUAUCUGAUAGUAACUGAUCAGGUAGUAACGGUAU